CGUGCUGCCGGCCGGGCCGCGCUCUGUGCAGCUGCCGGCUGCCCCACUCGCAUUCGGCCCGUCGUAGCGCGGUUCCGGUCUGCGGCGGAGGCCUGGGUCGCCCUGGAAAGGAGGUGGUUUUGCAGAGGUGAAACUCGGACGGCAUCUUUUUACUGGUGGAAAAAGUUGGAGCAAAAAUCAUGGACCAAGUUGCUUUAGGGGAUGACUUGCCUCGUGUUGGAACAGGAGUUGGUGCCAUGAAGAACUGAAGUCAGCAAGAUGUUUGCCAAUUGUAUCAUGUAACAGAGACAUCAAAGAAAAUAUUCAUGGUCUUGGAGGUAAGAAAUAGUGCUUGUG